rnacentral:rRNA from 1 species
AUUGAACGCUGGCGGCAGGCCUAACACAUGCAAGUCGAGCGGAUGAAGGGAGCUUGCUCCUGGAUUCAGCGGCGGACGGGUGAGUAAUGCCUAGGAAUCUGCCUGGCUGUGGGGGAUAACGUCCGGAAACGGGCGCUAAUACCGCAUACGUCCUGAGGUAGAAAGUGGGGGUUCUUCGGACCUCACGCUCUCAGAUGAGCCUAGGUCGGAUUAGCUAGUUGGUGGGGUAAAGGCCUACCAAGGCGACGAUCCGUAACUGGUCUGAGAGGAUGAUCAGUCACACUGGAACUGAGACACGGUCCAGACUCCUACGGGAGGCAGCAGUGGGGAAUAUUGGACAAUGGGCGAAAGCCUGAUCCAGCCAUGCCGCGUGUGUGAAGAAGGUCUUCGGAUUGUAAAGCACUUUAAGUUGGGAGGAAGGGCAGUAAGUUAAUACCUUGCUGUUUUGACGUUACCAACAGAAUAAGCACCGGCUAACUUCGUG